rnacentral:rRNA from 1 species
GAUGAACGCUGGCGGCGUGCCUAAUACAUGCAAGUCGAGCGAACAGACGAGGAGCUUGCUCCUCGGACGUGAGCGGCGGACGGGUGAGUAACACGUGGAUAACCUACCUAUAAGACGGGGAUAACCUCGGGAAACCGGAGCUAAUACCGGAUAAUAUAUUGAACCGCAGGGUUCAAUAGUGAAAGACGGUUGUGCUGGCACUUAUAGAUGGAUCCCGGCCGCAUUAGCUAGUUGGUAAGGUAACGGCUUACCAAGGCGACUAGGCGUAUACGACCGGAUAGGGUGAUCGGCGACACUGGAACGGAGACACGGUCCAGACUCCUACGGGAGGCAGCAGUAGGGAAUCUUCCGCAAUGGGCGAAAGCCUGACGGAGCAACGCCGCGUGAGUGAUGGAGGUCUUCGGAUCGUAAAACUCUGUUAUUAGGGAAGAACAAAUGUGUAAGUAACUAUGCCCGUCUUGACGGUACCUAAUCAGAAAGCCACGGCUAACUACGUG